UGGGGAAUAUUGGACAAUGGGCGAAAGCCUGAUCCAGCCAUGCCGCGUGUGUGAAGAAGGUCUUCGGAUUGUAAAGCACUUUAAGUUGGGAGGAAGGGCAGUUACCUAAUACGUAUCUGUUUUGACGUUACCGACAGAAUAAGCACCGGCUAACUCUGUGCCAGCAGCCGCGGUAAUACAGAGGGUGCAAGCGUUAAUCGGAAUUACUGGGCGUAAAGCGCGCGUAGGUGGUUUGUUAAGUUGGAUGUGAAAUCCCCGGGCUCAACCUGGGAACUGCAUUCAAAACUGACAAGCUAGAGUAUGGUAGAGGGUGGUGGAAUUUCCUGUGUAGCGGUGAAAUGCGUAGAUAUAGGAAGGAACACCAGUGGCGAAGGCGACCACCUGGACUGAUACUGACACUGAGGUGCGAAAGCGUGGGGAGCAAACAGGAUUAGAUACCCACGUAUUCCCUGAGCGGGCUGGCAAGGCGCAU
rnacentral:rRNA from 1 species